rnacentral:misc_RNA from 1 species
GAAAUGCGAUAAGUAAUGUGAAUUGCAGAAUUCAGUGAAUCAUCGAAUCUUUGAACGCAACUUGCGCUCCUUGGUAUUCCUUGGAGCAUGCCUGUUUGAGUAUCAUGAAAUCUUCAAAGUAAAUCUUUUGUUAACUCAAUUGGUUUCUACUUUGGUAUUGGAGGUCUUUGCAGCUUCACACCUGCUCCUCUUUGUUCAUUAGCUGGAUCUCAGUGUUAUGCUUGGUUCCACUCGGCGUGAUAAGUUAUCUAUCGCUGAGGACACUGUAAAUGGUGGCCAAGGUAAAUGCAGAUGAACCGCUUCUAAUAGUCCAUUGACUUGGACAAUACUUUUAUGAUCUGAUCUCAAAUCAGGUAGGACUACCCGCUGAACUUAAGC